rnacentral:rRNA from 1 species
UACGUAGGGUGCAAGCGUUAUCCGGAAUUAUUGGGCGUAAAGAGCUCGUAGGCGGUUUGUCGCGUCUGCCGUGAAAACUGGAGGCUCAACCUCCAGCCUGCGGUGGGUACGGGCAAACUAGAGUGCGGUAGGGGAGAUUGGAAUUCCUGGUGUAGCGGUGGAAUGCUCAGAUAUCAGGAGGAACACCGAUGGCGAAGGCAGAUCUCUGGGCCGUAACUGACGCUGAGGAGCGAAAGCAUGGGGAGCGAACAGG